rnacentral:rRNA from 1 species
AGUGAACGCUGGCGGUAUGCCUAACACAUGCAAGUCGAACGGCAGCACAGUAAGAUGUUGCUCUUACGGGUGGCGAGUGGCGUGCGUGUGAGGUAGGCAUCGGACUUGACUUUUUGGUGGGGGCGACGGUAGGGGAACUUAUGCUACUACCGCACACGAGCUACGGGUGAAGGCAGUUCAUCUUCGGACCUUGCGGGUUGGAAUGAGCCGAUGUCGGAUUAGCUAGUUGGGGGGGUAAAGGCCCACCAAGGCGACGAUCAGUAGCUGGUCUGAGAGGAUGACCAGCCACACUGGAACUGAGACACGGUCCAGACUCCUACGGGAGGCAGCAGUGGGGAAUUUUGGACAAUGGGCGCAAGCCUGAUCCAGCAAUACCGCGUGGGUGAAGAAGGCCUUCGGGUUGUAAAGCCCUUUUGUUCGGAAAGAAAAGCUGCACCUUAAUACCGCCCUGUUAUGACGGUACCCAAAGAAUAAGCACCGGCUAACUACGUG